GUGCCGCACGCCGCUCAAGUCUGGGAGCGGACGGUUCCUACUGCGGCUGGGCACCGGCUCGGCUCCGCGUCGGCCCGAGGUCUAGCUGCGCCCGGCCUGACACCGGCCCGGCUCCGCUCGGCCCCAGCCUCUGAGCGAAGGGGCCGCUGCCGCUGGGCUACUCCCAGGGCCAUGAGGAGGCGGCGGCAGCCACCGGGGCCCGCUUCAAGGUGACCGGCCGGGACUGCGGCGGUGGCGGACUCCUCUAGGCAGGUUAUGUCACCAGCAGAGGCUGCCCUGAAGCUCCCUGCGGCCUGGAGACUAUGUACAAGAGGAAUGGUCUGAUGGCUAGCGUGUUGGUCACCUCUGCCACUCCACAGGGCAGCAGCAGCUCAGACUCUCUCGAGGGCCAGAGCUGCGACUAUGCCAGCAAGAGCUACGAUGCCGUUGUCUUCGAUGUCUUGAAAGUGACUCCUGAGGAGUUUGCUAGCCAGAUCACACUAAUGGACAUCCCUGUGUUUAAAGCCAUCCAGCCGGAGGAACUAGCCAGCUGUGGAUGGAGUAAAAAGGAGAAGCAUAGUCUCGCCCCCAAUGUCGUGGCCUUUACCCGGAGGUUUAACCAGGUCAGUUUUUGGGUUGUACGAGAAAUUCUAACAGCACAGACUUUAAAAAUAAGGGCAGAAAUCCUGAGCCAUUUUGUGAAAAUAGCCAAGAAACUUCUAGAACUCAACAACCUUCAUUCUCUCAUGUCUGUGGUGUCAGCAUUACAAAGUGCUCCCAUCUUUAGGCUGACAAAGACCUGGGCUCUUUUGAAUCGAAAAGACAAGACCACCUUUGAGAAAUUGGACUACCUGAUGUCCAAAGAGGAUAAUUACAAGCGGACUCGGGAAUAUAUCCGAAGCCUGAAGAUGGUGCCCAGUAUUCCCUAUCUAGGGAUCUAUCUUCUGGAUUUGAUCUACAUUGAUUCAGCAUAUCCUGCCUCAGGCAGUAUUAUGGAAAACGAACAAAGGUCCAAUCAGAUGAACAAUAUUCUCCGAAUAAUUGCUGAUUUACAAGUUUCCUGCAGCUAUGAUCACCUCACCACCCUGCCGCAUGUGCAGAAGUACUUGAAGUCCGUACGAUACAUUGAAGAGCUUCAGAAGUUUGUGGAAGACGAUAACUACAAACUGUCGCUCAGAAUAGAACCAGGAAGCAGCUCUCCAAGACUAGUCUCUUCCAAGGAAGAUCUUGCAGGCCCCUCUGUGGGCUCCAGCUCAGCGCGCUUCCGCCGGAGACCCACCUGCCCUGAUGCAUCCGUGGCCGGCAGCCUCCCCACACCACCAGUCCCUCGACACAGGAAGAGUCACAGCCUGGGCAACAAUAUGAUGUGUCAGUUGAGUGUAGUUGAGAGUAAAAGUGCGACAUUCCCAUCGGAGAAAGCCAGGCACCUUCUGGAUGACAGUGUCCUAGAGUCCCGCAGUCCCCGCAGGGGCCUCGCCCUCACCUCCUCCACCGUCACCAAUGGACUCUCCCUAGGCAGUAGUGAGAGCUCAGAGUUUAGUGAAGAGAUGUCUUCAGGGCUGGAAAGCAGGGGACGUCUCUAUGCCACCCUAGGACCCAACUGGCGGGUUCCAGUUCAGAAUUCUCCCCGAACCCGGAGCUGUGCUUACAGCCCCACCAGCCCAUGCACCUGUACCCUGGGAAGCUCAGCAGCUGUGCCCACCAUGGAGGGGCCUCUAAGAAGGAAAACCCUGCUCAAGGAAGGACGGAAGCCCGCACAGUGUCCUAAAAUGAGUGGAGGAAAGCACACGGAUGAGGAUCAGGAGGACUUUCACCACCAGCCUCCAGUGCUGAACCCAGAUGUCGCCAGCUCCAUGACCCCAUGUGACAGAACUUCAGCCCCUUGCACAACAAGUUGCCCCAAGCCAUCCUUGUCCUCCUGGACCAGGUACUGGGUCAUACUCUCAGGAUCCACCCUCCUGUACUACGGAGCCAAGUCCUUGCGAGGCACAGACAGAAAACAUUAUAAAUCCACACCUGGCAAAAAGGUCUCCAUCAUGGGCUGGAUGGUGCAGCUGCCUGAUGACCCUGAGCACCCGGAUAUCUUCCAGCUGAACAACCCUGACAAAGGAACCAUAAGCUACUCCUGAGCCUGACCCCAGAGGAAAACAGGAUCCCCAAGCAGAAGGAAAUGUGACACGAGGGUUGGCCAGAGUCCAUGUGUAGAAUUUGAAGGAUCUGUGAACUUGGACGAGGACAGAAAAAUCACAUCUUUGUCUUCAGUAACUUCUGUUUCCAUCAUGAAUAUAGGCAAUGUUUACAAGUUUCAGACUGGCUCCCGAUUCCACGCAAUACUGUGGCACAAGCAUUUGGAUGAUGCAUGUAAAAGCAACAGGCCUCAGGUACCUGCAAACCUUAUGUCAUUUGAAUAAGUCUCUGCAGGACUUGGCGUGACCGAAAAGGCUUCUGGGAGCCCAGACUGGGCCUGGUGGAGGAGAGCAGCCCUGGGCACAGGCUGUGAGCCAGGAUGCUGGGAGCCUCACAGCCAGACUCAGGGGACAUGGCCUUCGGCCUCACAGUCCCAGAGGGCUCCCCAGUGCAGGAUCCACCUGUCGGUUCCCAAUGACUCUCACAACUCAUUCUGCGGCACCACCUCGAAGGGCACUGGUCAGACCCCAGACUGCACACCCCCACCCCUCUCUGGACCUCGUCUGUCCAACAGCUUCUUCUGCGACUAGACAGCAUUUGGCCCACGUUGGGUUCUCCGUCCUUCCUGCUGCACACAGAGUGGACAGCAUUCACCUGCAAAUGGGGCCAGACAGCAGGGACAGGCCUGUCACACCCCAAGUGCAUGGGGCUGCUCACCCACUGGGCUGCCUCAGAUUUUGUACAACCCCUGAAGCGUCCUCUAUGUGUGUGUGCCGUACAUGUGUGUGUGGGAGCGAGAGUGAAAUCUCCAAGAAACAUGCAUUUUGGCACAAGACUUGUGACAUCACACACUUCAUUUGCUUUUUGAGGCCCUGCUUAAACCUUCAGUGAUAGCCUUGUCCACCAAGAAAGGUCAGAGUGGGAGCCCAGAUGCCCCUGUGUUAGGGUCCCUUGCGUUCUUUUACUGUAAACAAACAAUGCCUUAAAUCGUGUCUUGUUUUCUGUUCCUAUGGGUGCUAUUUAUCUGGAAGGCCUGCUCCCUGGGCCCUGGGCCCCUUCCAGGCCUUGUUGCUGUCAGCCCUGCUGAGGCAGGACCUGGUCCUGGACUACAGGCUGGACCACUGGCCUGCUCCCACCAUGCCCGCAUGAGAAGUUGUGGCAUUUUCUCCCAGCAUCCUCAGAGCAGCUCAGAAGCUACCAUGCUCACAGUGAUCAGCCACACAGAAGUCACUUACACCAACCUCGCUGUGCAGGGCACAGGGCUUCCCUCGGUCAUCUCACCCCUUCGCCUCCACUGCCAGGGCGGGCCCCGCUGGGAUUCCUGAUCACAAUGGGAGCUGAGUGACACUGAGGCCUUACGCUCCCCCAGUCUUGCCUCCAGUUGCAGUCACCAGCAAGUUCUCCAAGUCCAAGGGCACAAUUGGUGAUGACCAGUGACAAGAAAGCCAAGCUCUGGGGAGUGAACAUCCAACGUGUGCAUUUUCAGAAGAGCCCUUCCUGUGAACAAUGACCUUUAUUUGUCACCUUUUGUCAUACUUUAAAGGGACUUUUACUUUGCACAAAUACAUUCUUAGUGAAAGUGAAUUGCUCUUUAUCAUCAUAUCCUCCCUCUCUCUAUCCCUCUCCACCCAAUUUUAUUUGGAUCUCCUAGUCCUGAGAAGGAGAUCCUUAAACCAUUUUAUGAAAGAGACUGAAUUUCUGGGUCCUUGUCCCUUUUGUGGUUUCAGAACUCACAAUAACCAAGCAUCAAACUACCCUGAAGAUUUUUUUGGUGAGAAGCUUCAAAACAGCAUCUGAAGUAGUAAACUGUAACAGAUCAAUUGAAAAACUACCAAAAGACCCAUCACUGUAUGUUGAUCAAAUGAUGACAACUUCUCUGAAAAUUUAAAUGAAUUGGUGACAAAAAUAGUUGUCAUCAGGGUGCUGCUUUAUGGUUGAGCCUCACAGUGCUCAGAAGCUAACCCUCUUUUGGAGCAAAGACUGGACACUUUUAUCCCAAGAGAAACUCUAGAAGGGAAAGUUAAUGCCGUUGACCACAGCUGCCUUGCGCACCCACCUAUACCCGGGGUCCACAUAUGUGCACUCGAUUCUACCAACUACUUCAAAUUGAUAUCCAAGGCUAAGUGACAGCGCCAAGCACUGCAGACACCUCUGACCGGAACUGUGUGGUGCUCACACUACAGCCAAUGUUAAGCCCCAGCCUCCCCGUUAACUUCUAAAAUGUCUUAAGCUUGGAUGAAACUACAAGACUGGAACAGGAGCUACUUAUUUUCCUUGGCUUUCUCCACUCGCUAACCCUAUCCUGGUUUUUCACACAUGAAAUAUUACACAUGCCAAUCCAAAAGCCCCAGAACUUCAGGCUCUACUAAACCAGAUAAUCUUCUACCCUUUCCAAAUUCUUCUUCUCUUUCACAAACAUUUUCUUCUGGGCCUAAUUUGAAAGAGCACAGUCACAGUUUUUUCAGUGUUUAGUCUUCUCACUAACAGAGACUGAUCCCACAUGCCCUCCCAGAAACUUGAAGAAUCUGUCUGGGCUUUGUUGGCAAAAGCCUUGUAGCACUAGGAGCCCUGAACACCUCAGAAGAGCCCUGGAGAUGAAGCUGAAAGAUAACUGACUCUCCAAGCAGGGAUUCAGGCCAGCCCUGUGACUUCAGUGCUUAUUGUCUUCCAGUGCUGGUUUGUCCCUCAAGCUGCAGGUUGGGAGGCCUGCAAGCUAAGGACAGAGAGGACCAGGCACAGAUCACAGAGGAGGAGGUCCUAGGGUGGAUUCUCAUCUUGGAGGGAAGUGUUUUCUCGUUUUUGCUCCUUGACUGUUCCUAGUGCACAAAUACUUGUGAAACUUGAAGGUACUAUGUCUUGCAUGCAUAUACUGUCAUUUUGUCUCAGCAAACAGACUGUGGCAUCCCAAAAUGAGAGUUGUAGAAUGGUGUCUACAAACUGGAUUAGGUAGCUGGCAGCAUCGAGUGUUCCAAGAAGAGCCCAUUCAGUCAUAUUGUCCUGGGAGUACUUUACGCCCCUCUUAGUUGAGCACAUUUUGUAACCCAAGGUCGCCAAAGUGCACUCUGGCAAAUGAAUAUUCUGUGGAUGGAUUUGGUGGAGAGUCCUAGUUCUGAAUGUGUCCAAGGAGAGCACAGCAGCCUUCCCUCCCCUGACCAGAUUCCCUUUCAGUACCCCGUCGGGUGGAGGUGCUGAAGAGGUAAGACCCUUGAAGGAAUCUUUUAGCAAAGAACCUACUCUGACUGCCAACUGAUUUCUAAAACAUUUCUUUUUCUUACCAACAUGUGACUCCCACCUCCCAAGCCCCAAAAGGUGUAUCUUUGAGGAUGCCAUUUUCAGGUUAAAAAGUGGUCUAUGAGAAUGGAAAACCAUCUGCAAGCCAAGCCUGCUUUAUUAAAGAUCAGUAGGGUCCGGAGCUCUGCACCCACAUUGCUGAUGCUCGCAGCCACCAGGUGACCAUUGCCAAAAACAGCGUCACUUUUGUGUGUGAUCUCAUAAAUAACUUUAAUCAGCCCCACAUCACAUUGGCAUAGCGUGUAAUUUCAUGUUUAAAAAAAGAGUCCCUUUGAAAUAAUAGGUUCUCUGAGAAAACACCCAUUCAUUCAUUCAUUCUAAUUUCUAGUGAGUGCUUCCCAUGUGCCAGGUUGUUCCAGGAUAUAAAUGGCUGAAAACAAGACAGAUCCAGUCUCUGCUCUCAUGGAGCUGACUGCUGAACAAAUAAUGAACAAAUAAUCCUGACUCCCAUGCAUCUCCUAGAGCGAGACCCUGCCUCUCCCUUAGCCCGGGGUACAAAUCCUGUGCACAGAUUCUCCUAGAAAGGCUUCGAAAGGCCCACCAGACUGAACAAUCUUGCUGUUAAGUGCAGUUGAGGUGGGACUAGGUGGAGUCCGAGAGCCAGGCACAGAGCUGUGGUUGAGUACACAAGGGACUCCAGAGAGACUGAGAGUAGGGUCAGGAGAUCCGCAGUAUUUGUUUCCUAGGCUUCUGUCCUUAACUUCAGUGUUAAAUUGAAGUACAGUAUAAGCGAGAGCUGCAUUCUCUUGGGUGUUGAGAAUUUGUACAGUGGAUGUUAGUUCACCUCCGAGCCUGCGGCCACACCAGUGGACAGCCCAGGUAUCCCUGCUCAUAGCAGCAAUGCGACAGAUCAUCUGUCCAUCAACCUAUCCAUUUCUGAACGACUGUGACCAUUCAGUAAUGAAAUAAUAUUCAUUAAUUUAUUACUAUGGUAUAAUCCUUAAUAAAUUUCGUGCCAAAAUGCAUCGUUUUCCACUAAGCAUUCAAAAUGUUGUGUAGAGAGUAGUUUUCAAUUUCUUAUAUAUUCUUCCACGUAAGUUGGAAAAUCAAUUUCUACGUUUUAGUUGGUUUCUUGUUAAAUCUGUUUCAUUCUCCCAGGCUGUCCUUUUUUCCAGCAGACCCUGCAUGCACUUGUAAAGGACUUUAUCUAAUACUUGUGAAUUGUCUCACCUCUGUAACCACUGAACAUCAGCCCUCUGUGGGAUUCUUUAGAUUUUUGGUGAAGUAUUUUGUUACCUCAGUCUUGUAUCAAGUUGAUGUAUUUUUCAGCUUGUUACACUGAUAAUAAUUGUUUCACUAAUUAAAUACUUUAAUGUACAGACAUCUUUGUUUACUUUGAAAUUAAAUGUGUUUUCCAAUGA